UACAGAGGAGCCAAGCGUUGUCCGGAUUGACUGGGCGUAAAGCGCACGCAGGCGGAUGCGCGCGUGGGGUGUGAAAUCUGGCCGCUUAACGGCCAGGCGCCAUCCCAUACGGCGCGUCUGGAGUGAUGCAGAGGUCGGUGGAAUUGCCGGUGUAGUGGUGAAAUGCGCAGAUAUCAGGAGGAACACCAAUUGCGAAGGCAGCUCGCUGGAACGUAACUGACGCUGAGACGCGAAAGCGUGGGGAGCAAACAGG
rnacentral:rRNA from 1 species